rnacentral:rRNA from 1 species
CGAGCGAGGUAGCAAUACCUAGCGGCAGACGGGUGCGUAACAUGUGGGAAUCUGCCCUUGGGUUCGGAAUAACUUCGGGAAACUGAAGCUAAUACCGGAUGAUGACGAAAGUCCAAAGAUUUAUCGCCCAGGGAUGAGCCCGCGUAGGAUUAGCUAGUUGGUGGGGUAAAGGCCUACCAAGGCGACGAUCGAUAGGUGGUCUGAGAGGACGAUCACCCAGACUGGGACUGAGACACGGCCCAGACUCC